AUUGAACGCUGGCGGCAGGCCUAACACAUGCAAGUCGAACGAGUGGCGGACGGGUGAGUCAUGCCUGGGAAACUGGCUGAUGGAGGGGGAUAACUACUGGAAAAGGUAGAUAAUACCGCAUACAAUAGGAAGGGACCAGAUGGGAUUAGCUAGUAGGUGGGGUAAAGGAUCACCGAGUCGACGAUCCCUAGCUGGUCUGAGAGGAUGACCAGCCACACUGGAACUGCAACACGGUCCAGACUCCUACGGGAGGCAGCAGUGGGGAUUAUUGCACAAUGGGGUCAAUCCGAAUGCAGCCAUGCCGCUUGAAUGAAGCAGGCCUUCGGGUUGUAAAGUACUUUCAGCGGGGAGGCGUUACCCGCAGAAGAAGCCCCGGCUAACUCCGUGCCAGCAGCCGCGGUAAUUC
rnacentral:rRNA from 1 species